UGCGUAGGCGGGCUAAUAAGUCAGUGGUGAAAUCUCUCGGCUCAACCGGGAAACUGCCAUUGAUACUGUUAGUCUUGAGUUCGGUUGAGGUAGGCGGAAUGUGUAAUGUAGCGGUGAAAUGCUUAGAUAUUACACAGAACACCAAUUGCGUAGGCAGCUUACUAGACCGAUACUGACGCUGAGGCACGAAAGCGUGGGGAGCGAACAGGAUUAGAUACCCUGGUAGUCC
rnacentral:rRNA from 1 species